GAUGAACGCUAGCGGCAGGCUUAACACAUGCAAGUCGAGGGGCAGCAUAAUGGAUAGCAAUAUCUAUGGUGGCGACCGGCGCACGGGUGCGUAACGCGUAUGCAACCUACCUUUAACAGGGGGAUAACAUUGAGAAAUUGGUACUAAUACCCCAUAAUAUCAUAGAAGGCAUCUUUUAUGGUUGAAAAUUCCGAUGGUUAGAGAUGGGCAUGCGUUGUAUUAGCUAGUUGGUGAGGUAACGGCUCACCAAGGCGACGAUACAUAGGGGGACUGAGAGGUUAACCCCCCACACUUGGAACUGAGACACGGUCCAAACUCCUACGGGAGGCAGCAGUGAGGAAUAUUGGUCAAUGGACGAGAGUCUG
rnacentral:rRNA from 1 species